rnacentral:lncRNA from 1 species
GUCAAAACUAGUGUUAAAAUAGAGCGAAGAAAUUAGCAAGAAUAAUGAAGAAAACUCAACAAUUAUAGAACUACCUCAUUCACAGUAUAAUCUCAGAUAAAAUGACAUAGUCAUGGUCAAAACAACAUUAAUCAAGAUAGAACCAUAUAGAUCCCAAUAGUAGUAGAAUCAAGUUGCUGAAGAUUGUAUUUUCAUCCAAAUAUGUGUGAAUCACUUGCGUAACAUACUAAAUAAAAGAAAAACUGUAACAGUGGUGACCAUCGGAGUUGCUUCAAUGGCUUUCAUCGAAGAAAUAAGAGUUAUCCAAGUCUAACCCAUUCUCCGACUACAAUGGCAAGAGAGAGAGAGAGAGAGGCAAAGGUAAAAGUAAAAUAAAUAGGGACGGUGCAUGGUGGAGCAGCUGGAACUCGCCGAUCAUCACAUUUGGCGAGCCAACGAUGUUGUUUAGUGACGGAGAGCAUGGAAGUAGGAAGAGAAAGGCGGCGGGUUGGAGGUUUGGUGGUGGCUAGAAUGCUAAUGGGGUAAUGUUUUGGUCCAACGGUGGAGGUGGUGUGGUGGCAGUGAGUUUGAGGGAGAUUGAAAGAAGGGCGAAAGUGAGGAAGAAAUGGUUGAUGUAUGUUUAUAUGCGUGUGUUGUGUAUUUUUUGUCCCCUCCAAAGAAAGUAAAA